rnacentral:siRNA from 1 species
UGAAAUUGCCUAAAUAACUUA